GGAAGACUGAACAAACACACACGGGGAAACACUUGCUUCACAGAAGACAUUGCGCCUGUUUAAGGUGGGACAAGUGGCUGCACCUGAGCCUGGUUGGACGUGUCCUUCUUAAGCUGAUAGACGGCAGGAUGGAGAUGCAGGUUCAUUGGUCUCUUCAAGCUUAGUACGAGUAGCACACCAGAAGAUGGGUGUGGUGUAGCUAGCUCCACCAGAGAGUGACUUCGGCUAAAUCCCAAUUCUACCCCUUGGCCCUUGUCUGAGAAGGCCGUGCUACAAGACGGAAGUGCAGAGACCGAAAGAAACAUAAAAAUAAAACCAAUAAGUUCCUUGCAUUCCUUGCUGUUAAUGAAGGUAACAUUACUGCUACUGACUUUGAGAUACUUCAUGUUCAUCCUCCAAUGCCUUAGGUUGACAGGCAUCACCUUUAUCAUCUUUACCUUUAUUCCCCAUCUUUACAACAAUGCCAACAUAUUGCUUAAACCUAUCCACUGGUCAUUAUCUGUUUAAUGUAUUUCACCAGGAAAGCCAGUCGUUCCCAAAUAGGAGACUACUUACAAGGGUGCAUUUGUUUAGUGAGAAACACCAGUGUUGGCUCAAACGGUGUUAAAAUAACAACCUUACUGACUUCCAGUGCCAGGUAAUCUAACUACAAAGUGUUUUUUGUCUCACUCCCAAAUAGAUUCAUUUUGAGGAUCUACUUUUCAACCGGUCUGAACAUUUUGAUCCAGAGUGUAAAAGAUAUACGAACAAGACGUUCUUACAUGCAAGUUGGAAAUGGUUCUCAUUGUUCACUAAUUCGGGAACAUCACAUGUCGAAGCCACACAACAGAACACAAUGCAACAAUAGAGCAGUUUUUCAUUUUAAAACUGUCCUUUUCAGGAUGGAGGUCCAGGUGCUACUUGAUGUACUUUCAUUGUGUGUAUUAAGUCUCAGAGCAAACUGUUGAAACUUUAUCUCUCAACUUCUUCUUUCUCUUUGGGCUUUUCCCUUCAGGGGUCGCCACAGCAAAUCAAUCUCCUCCAUCCAACCCUGUCUUCCGCAUCUGUCUCUGUCUCAUGUCCUCCUUCACUACAUCCAUAAACCUCCUCUUUGGUCUCCCUCUACGCCUCCUACCUGGCAGCUCUAAAUGUAGCAUCCUUCUACCAAUAUAUUCACUAUCUCUCCUCUGGACAUGUCCCAACCAUCUCAGUCUGGCCUCUCUGACUUUAUCUUCAAGGUCUCUAACAUGUAAUGUCCCUCUGAUGUACUCGUUCCUGAUCCUAUCCAUCCUGGUCACUCCCAAUGAGAACCUCAGCAUCCUCAUCUCUGCUCCCUCCAGUUCUUCUACUUCACUACAAAGCUAAAUUCCCCCAUUUAAUUCUCCCUAUUUUAACUAGUAACUGUAAGUAAUUACUUUUUUAAGUUAUCUACCUGGUAGCUGCGUAGGGGGAGAUAGAUUUUCCAAUGUGUACCAUGUGGGAAAUCGGCACACCAAAGGUUCCGUACCACAAAACUGGGGCUACGUGCCUUUAAAAAUGCAUUAACACAGGCCUCUGCAGGAACAUAUUCUCAAGAUAUGAUUGUGGAACUGUGAAUAAUUAAGCUGGUGUUUAUGCAAAUACAUUUUCUGUUGCCAGGGAGGUGCAGAUAGUUGAUUAAAUAGAAUUUGCAAUUUGAUUUCUGUUUGUAUGACACUCAUAUUAUAAGUUCAGCAUAUUCACUGUUGAAUACCAACGCCGUGAAGGUGUCAGCUACAUUUAAAUGAGGUCUGUGGCAGCUGCUCUUGAGACACUCUCAUACAGCAUCUGUAAAAACAGUCGCGUAUUUGUCUUUAAAGCACCAGCGAAAACAGGAAACGGUGUAAUUACAGGCGUGCUCGGCGAAAAUUACAAAUAGGUCACUUGAGUCACCACGUUCUCUGAAAAUCUCACUUUUCGCUGAGUUGAACUUAAUUGUCUCAGCACUUUAUACUUUGAAGUGUUUGUAAUAAGCUCUGUGUUCAUGGUUGAAGCUUCAAACUGAAUUCACCUUUGCCAGAUGGUUCCCACAGGGUUGGAAAGGACUCGGUGUGUAAUAAUUGUUGAGCAUGAAACCAGCUGUUGCGUGGCAAGUUAAAUACUGAGGACUAUUUCAUUGAUCUGUCUGUGUGAAGAAUACACAGUAAGAAUGGAUAAUCAGGGACUGGGACUGUUUUUCUUGAACAAGCAAAAGAAUUGGAAUAAAGCAAAGCGGGUGGUAGCCACAUCCAAGUCGCUACAGUAAGAAUGCAGCCUGGGGCAGAAAGCCCCACGUUUAAACCUCUUUAAAUGGCGUAAGGUAUGCAUUCAGUAAACAUUUACUCACUGGUGUACCCUUGAGCAAGGUAGCAUUUCCACAGGCUCUGUCUCAAUUGGCAUGUGUACGUCUGUACUUAGUCUUUUGAGAGUGUUCAAAACAUUCUUCUUUUCACUCGCAACAAAAAAACACAAACCCUAAUUGUGUGUAAAUGUAUAGGUACCCACCACUAAUGGACGAUGAUGUAAGACGAUGUAUGGACAGAUGGAAUCGGUGCCAAGUUGUCGGCUUGAGCCUGGUCAUCUGUUUGUUGUAAUUACAAUAAUAGAGAAUAAUAACUUGGGUUCACCUAUCUGCAAGCUUUGAGGCUGCAUUGGCUAUUGAAGUUAGUGCUUCAGUAGCCAAACAAACUUUUGCUCUUACCACACAACUACAGUGUGUUUAAGGACUGCCCACCAAAAUGCAAAAUUGCAAGCCUAAAAGACAAACAUGGAAAAUUAGUGGGAUUUCUAACAGUGGGUGCCUUACCUUUGGGCUUUUCCCUUCAGGGGUCACCACAGCAAAUCAAUCUCCUCCCUCCAUCCCUGUCUUCUGCAUCUGUCUCUGUCUCAUGUCCUCCUUCACUACAUCCAUGAACCUCUUCUUUAGUCUUCCUCAUUGGCCUUAUAUUGACUAUCUCUCCUCUGCACAUGUCCGAACAAUCUCAGUCUGGCCUCUCUAACUUAAUCUCCAAGGCCUCUAACAUGUAAUGUCCCUCUGAUGUACUCGUUCCUGAUCCUAUCUAUCCUGGUCACUCCCAAUGAGAACCUCAGCAUCCUCAUCUCUGCAACCUCCAGUUCUGUUUCCCGUCUUUUCCUCAGUCGCUAGACCAGACAACAGACCAAUGGGUGGUCUCACCACAGUUUAGUAUACUUUACAUUUUACCUGUAUUAUUACAUAUUUAUGCAUUUUUACCGUCUUAUGAUGAAUAUGUGUUUUUUUUUUUUUUUUCAGAAAAAAGCUAAAUUGAUUGAAAAGCCCAAAUGUGGGUAUCUGCUGUGAUUGAUUUGGGAUAACACUGCUUAUUUCUCCUUAUUUGCAUCUAGUUUCAUUUGAGCCAUAAUGGUACAGAAACCUAAGUGACAAUGUUGUUCACCCAUGUAACCGUUUGUCAUCAGCUGUACUCCAGCUGCAGAAACAGAAGCAAAGAACAGGAGAUAACAAGUAAACAAAACCACGGACCCUAUGAAGUCAGCUAAUCAGCAAGGGGCUGCCAGUGAUGCUCGUCACUCAGAAAAUGCCUUUACCUCCAGCACGGGGAAGUGCAAGACACACCUGCAGCCACUGUCCAAUUAAUCACGUUCUUCAGUACUGAUUGUUCCUCAUAGUCGGGUUCCAUACACCCGGUAACAUAUCAAGUACCAUGAGUGUUGGAUUCCUUUCUCGUCCGCCUCCAGAGCCUAUCCCAGCUGUCUUCGGGCGAGAGGCGGGGUACACCCUGAACUGGUCGCCAGCCAGCCAAUCACAGGGCUCAUAUAGACAAACAACCAUUCACACUCACAUUCAUACCUAUGGACAAUUUGGAGUCGCCAAUUAACCUAGCAUGUUUUUUGGAACGUGGGAGGAAACCGGAGUACCCGGAGAAAACCCACGCAUGCACGGGGAGAACAUGCAAACCCCACACAGAGAUGGCAGAGGGUGGAAUUGAACUCGGGUGUCCUAGCUGUGAGGCCUGUGCGCUAACCACUCAUCCACCGUGCAGCUUGUUCUCAAAAUAGAUGAAUAAAAUAAGUUGGCAUACCAUCUGCAACA